AGUGUGUGUGUGUGUGUGUUGCCUGCUGCUGUAAGCCGUGUUCAAAGCUCUUAUCCCAACUCUGUCUCUCUCUCUGUCCAGGCCAGAAAUGCUGCCUAAUCUCUAUGGUUACCUAUGGCCUACGUCUCUUUCCUGUCUCCACUGAAACACUUCGUCCUUCUCUGAGGGCGAGUGAUGUGCGGUGCGAGUGGUGUGUGUGUUUAGCGAGAGCGUGAGCCAACGAGUGAGAGCAGUGUGUGUGGAGUGAGCGAGUGCAGAGCGAGCCACUCACACGGAGCAUGCCUCUGCGUCCUGCAGCCGGCAAACAUGAGCCACCCAGCUCUCCACAGCAGGACCAGCACACACACUCACACCCCUACACACACACCAACGGCAGCCAGGGGGCCAGCUCUGACAGCGGCAGCUCACGGGAAGAGGACAGCGGCAUUCCCGUUUCUGUCAGUGUUUUCUCUUUCCGUCCCACUCGGGAGCGGAGCCCCAGUGCAGGAGGAGGCAUGGCGCAGGACAAGGGCAACACGUUGGUGAUCCGCAUUGGAAUACCGGACCUGGCACAGACGAUUCUGGAGACCAGGGGAUGUUGUCGACCUUCCAUCCUGCCAACUCCCCUGUGGCAAUGGCAUAGACUAAGAUAUUCAUGGAGCUAGAGGGGGUUGAAGGAGUGUUAAGUAGAAUAAGGACUGUGCAGUAGAAUGUAGGCUUACUUUAUGUUUCCCUUCGGCAUAUGUCAAUUAUGAGCAUGUCUCAUUUAUGUAUAUACAUUUACACAUGUAUGCUUGGGGGAUAAGUGG
ensembl:lncRNA